UCUACAAACGUAUUUACCGAGCAUUGAAGGACGAGUUCAAGCUCCUGUUCGAGCUCAAUGCGCGCAACAUCGACGAGAAGGCAUACUAUACGUUCAACGACGAGCAGGAAGUAGUCGAGAAGUCUGACUAUGACCUCCAGUCGAUGGAUAUCUGUCCGGUUGCCGAUCCCAAAAUGGUCACGGAUAUGCAGCGUUCCGCUCGCGCUCAGGUGCUGAUGCAGAUCGGGCAGGACCCGACGCUAGGCCCACUGCAGGACCCGCUGGAGGCGCUGCGGCGCAUCUACGACGCGGUUGGCAUGGAAGAGCCGGACAAGCUU
rnacentral:misc_RNA from 1 species